rnacentral:rRNA from 1 species
UACAGAGGUUUCAAGCGUUGUUCGGAAUUACUGGGCGUAAAGGGUGCGCAGGCCGCUCGGGCAGUCAAAUGUGUAAUCCAGGGGCUCAACCCCUGAACUGCGCUUGAUACUUCCGCGCUCGAGCUUUGGAGAGGAGUCUGGAAUUCUCGGUGUAGCAGUGAAAUGCGUGGAUAUCGAGAAGAACACUUAGGGCGUAGGCAAGACUCUGGACAAAUGCUGACGCUGAUGCACGAAGGCUAGGGUAGCGAACGGG